rnacentral:rRNA from 1 species
AACGAACGCUGGCGGCGGGCCUAACACAUGCAAGCCGAGCGAAGCCUUCGGGCUUAGCGGCGGACGGGUGAGUAACGCGUGGGAACGUGCCCUUUGGUACGGAAUAGCCCCGGGAAGCUGGGAGUAAUACCGUAUGUGCCCUUCGGGGGAAAGAUUUAUCGCCAAAGGGUCGGCCCGCGUUGGAUUAGGUAGUUGGUGGGGUAAUGGCCUACCAAGCCGACGAUCCAUAGCUGGUUUGAGAGGAUGAUCAGCCACACUGGGACUGAGACACGGCCCAGACUCCUACGGGAGGCAGCAGUGGGGAAUCUUAGACAAUGGGGGAAACCCUGAUCUAGCCAUGCCGCGUGAUCGAUGAAGGCCUUAGGGUUGUAAAGAUCUUUCAGUGGGGAAGAUAAUGACUGUACCCACAGAAGAAGCCCCGGCUAACUCCGUGCCAGCCGCCGCGGUAAGAC